rnacentral:rRNA from 1 species
GAUGAACGCUAGCGGCAGGCCUAACACAUGCAAGUCGAGGGGUAGAGUUCUUCGGGACUUGAGACCGGCGCACGGGUGCGUAACGCGUAUGCAAUCUACCUUAUACAGGGGAAUAGCCCCAGAGAAAUUUGGAUUAAUGCCCCAUAGUGUUAUCGAAUCGCAUGGUUUGAUAACUAAAGUUCCAACGGUAUAAGAUGAGCAUGCGUCCCAUUAGUUAGUUGGUAAGGUAACGGCUUACCAAGACAAUGAUGGGUAGGGGUCCUGAGAGGGGAGAUCCCCCCACACUGGUACUGAGACACGGACCAGACUCCUACGGGAGGCAGCAGUGAGGAAUAUUGGUCAAUGGGGCGCAAGCCUGAACCAGCCAUGCCGCGUGCAGGAAGACGGUCCUAUGGAUUGUAAACUGCUUUUUA